rnacentral:rRNA from 1 species
CGAUCGAGAGAACCCUGGUUAAGGAACUCGGCAAAUUCCAUCCGUAACUUCGGGAUAAGGAUGACCCCGCUAGGGUGAAGGACUUCGCGUCCUGAGCUCGAAGGGGUGGCACAAACCAGGCCCAAGCGACUGUUUACUAAAAACACAGGUCCGUGCAAAGUCGCAAGACGACGUAUACGGACUGACGCCUGCCCGGUGCUGGAACGUCAAGGGGAGGGGUUAGAUCCUUCGGGAUCGAAGCUCUGAACCUAAGCGCCAGUAAACGGCGGCCGUAACUAUAACGGUCCUAAGGUAGCGAAAUUCCUUGUCGGGUAAGUUCCGACCUGCACGAAUGGCGUAACGACUUGGGCACUGUCUCAACCAGGGACUCGGCGAAAUUGCAAUACGAGUAAAGAUGCUCGUUACCCGCAGCAGGACGGAAAGACCCCGGGACCUUUACUGCAGUUUGAUGUUGGGUUUUGGCAUGUGUUGCGUAGGAUAGGUGGGAGACGAUGAAGUGAGGCUUUCGGGUCGCGUGGAGUCAACCUUGAAAUACCACCCUUCACUUGUUGGGACUCUAACCCAGGCCCGUGAUCCGGGUCGGGGACAGCGUCUGAUGGGCAGUUUAACUGGGGCGGUUGCCUCCCAAAAUGUAACGGAGGCGCCCAAAGGUUCCCUCAGCCUGGUUGGCAAUCAGGCGUUGAGUGCAAGGGCACAAGGGAGCUUGACUGUGAGACCGACGGGUCGAGCAGGAGCGAAAGCUGGGCCUAGUGAUCCGGCGACUUCCGUGUGGAAGGGUCGUUGCUAAACGGCUAAAAGGUACCCCGGGGAUAACAGGCUGAUCCUGCCCAAGAGUCCAUAUCGACGGCAGGGUUUGGCACCUCGAUGUCGGCUCGUCUCAUCCUGGGGCUGGAGCAGGUCCCAAGGGUCGGGCUGUUCGCCCGUUAAAGAGGCACGCGAGCUGGGUUUAGAACGUCGUGAGACAGUUCGGUCCCUAUCCGCUGUGGGCGUAAGAGAUCUGAGAGGAGCUACCCCUAGUACGAGAGGACCGGGGUGGACGAACCUCUGGUGUGCCAGUUGUCGCGCCAGCGGCACGGCUGGUUGGCCACGUUCGGAAGGGAUAAGCGCUGAAAGCAUCUAAGUGCGAAGCCUGCCUCGAGAUGAGAUCUCUCACCGGGACAACCGGGUAAGGCCCCUGGAAGACCACCAGGUUGAUAGGCCGGAAGUGGAAGCACGGCAACGUGCGGAGCUGACCGGUACUAAUAGGCCGAGGACUUGACUCU